AUUUUAAUGAUAUUAAAUUAAACAUUAGGCCUUGAUUUAAUGUUUUUUUUUACUAAGCUUUUAAAAUGAAUUUUUUAGAAUAUUAAAAUAUCAAGAAAUGUCAUAUAUAACAAAAUAUAUCAAUAUAUCAUACAAAUAUAUAUUUUUUCAUUUUUCAAAAUGUUACAUUUUUGAAAAGAUAAUCCACAAAUACGAAAUUAGGGCUUCAGUUCUCAGCAACUACUGUAAAACAGCACAAGAACAUUGAAGUUAUAAAGACAAAAAACUUUAUUUAGCCAUGAAAGUGGCAUAUGCUUGUUUUUCAAACUUUUUUUUAAACCUUAUUUAUAUAUCGGCAAAUUCAGAAGAUUCACAUUUACUAACACCUAAAAAGAGAAUGAAGCAGAAAAAAGUAUUCUGCAAUUUUCUGCUUAUGUCAAAACUGAACCUGUGAGUGGGGUAAUAUUGCCACCUAGGGGAACAAAAGGGAAUUGCUAUAAACAAGCUGUUAGAAAAUAUACAUUUAUUCAUAUGAAGUUAAAUGGACCGAACUUUAACUGCAGUUAUAUCUCCAUGAUUUUACUUCUUUAUUCCAAAAAUGACAUAUUUAUAUACCAUUUUUAUCAUCUUGUUAAGCAAGUAGUCUGGUGUCUGAAAUACCAUUUGCAACAUUCAUUAAUAAUAUUUUUGAGAAACAUGUUUAAAGGAAUUAAAAUGUCUUUUUUUUCUCA